ensembl:lncRNA
UGCAGCACUCUGUGAUCACACAGGUAGACACACAGAGCUGAUUUUAACUGCCUGGCUUCUUCUGCACGCUCACAUUUGCUUUGCAGCAUCGACCAGAAAGAAGGCUCCCCGUGUCUUCGGCCAUGGCCUCCGAUAGCCCCUCCUCCCAAGCAGCUUCCACCUACCUGACCGCGCACACCAACGAGAUGGUGGAGCUGCAGCACCUGAACGGCCGCUUAACCAGCUACAUCGAGAGGUUGCACUUCCUGGAGCAGCAGAACCAGACGCUGGCGGCGGAGGUGAAGCGGCUGCGAGGCCGUAAGCUCACGCGCUUUGAAAGGCUCAUGGAGCAGACUCCCCAGAAGGAGGACGUGGAGAGCAACCUGGCUGCUUCCGGGGGGGUGACGCCUGUGUAGCGUGUCUCCACCCACAGCUUCUCCACAACGCAGAAGAAGCUCCUCCUGACGUUUCUCGUAUGUCUUCCUUCAUGUGCAGAGCUGCUGACCGUUAAAAGCAAUGUGGACGCCUCUGACCCGUUUGUCUUACUAUGCUAAAAAUCACAGCUCAACAUUGUUAAGGAACAACAAGGCAGCUCGCUGAGGUAGAGUGAAGAAAAGAGGAUGUCUUCAGAGAUACAGAACAGCGGAGCGAAGUGAAUGACCAGCGAGAGAAGAGGCCUAAGGGGCACGUGUGAGGGAGUAACGCUGUACAUCAGUAACAACGUUGUAUCUUUACCGUGAAGGACAUGAGUGAGUCUCUGUACCUGCAACAUCUGCUCCACCGUCAGCUUCAUCAACGGGUCGACAUCAUGUGAGGAGGAGCAGAGAGAAGAAGAGACGACGAGGGACAAGAACAUAGAGACUCUUCUGGGUUAAAGCGUGAGCAGCAGAGUGAUGCUGUUAUUCACUCUAUUGGGAUGUAUUUAUCUGUGGUUUAAUGUAUAUAUAUUAUAUUAUAUUUCCGAGAAUAACUGAGACGGACUUGAUUUGUUUUUUGUAUCAAUUCACAAUAAAAUGAACAUAAUUGCAUCAGAGAGGCUGCUGACAAAUAAAAGAAUUUUCCAAUGGCCUAAAAAAUAAAACACUGCAUGAACUUCCUGAUUUCUGUCUAUUUAAGUUAAAUGGAAUGAGGAAACAUUUAUUGUCAUAAUUUGUCAGACAUACAAGGAAUGUGACUUGGCGGUUGGUGCGUAA